UACACUUAUCUCUUGGUCUCCUG
rnacentral:piRNA from 1 species